ACGGGUGAGUAACACGUAGGUAACCUGCCUAUGAGACUGGGAUAACUAUCGGAAACGAUAGCUGAGACCGGAUAACUGGUUUUCUCGCAUGAGAGAAUCAUGAAACACGGAGCAAUCUGUGGCUUAUAGAUGGGCCUGCGGCGCAUUAGCUAGUUGGUAGGGUAAUGGCCUACCAAGGCGACGAUGCGUAGCCGACCUGAGAGGGUGAACGGCCACACUGGGACUGAGACACGGCCCAGACUCCUACGGGAGGCAGCAGUAGGGAAUCUUCCGCAAUGGACGCAAGUCUGACGGAGCAACGCCGCGUGAGUGAUGAAGGUUUUCGGAUCGUAAAGCUCUGUUGCCCUAGACGAACAGCAAGGAGAGUAACUGCUCUUUGUGUGACGGUAUAGGAGAAGAAAGCCCCGGCUAACUACGUGCCAGCAGCCGCGGUAAUACGUAGGGGGCAAGCGUUGUCCGGAAUUAUUGGGCGUAAAGCGCGCGCAGGCGGUCAAUUAAGUUGGGUGUUUAAGCCCGGGGCUCAACCCCGGUUCGCAUCCAAAACUGGUUGACCUGAGUGUAGGGGAGGAAAGUGGAAUUCCACGUGUAGC
rnacentral:rRNA from 1 species